rnacentral:rRNA from 1 species
CCUACGGGGUGCAGCAGUAGGGAAUCUUCCACAAUGGGCGAAAGCCUGAUGGAGCAACGCCGCGUGGGUGAAGAAGGUCUUCGGAUCGUAAAACCCUGUUGUUAGAGAAGAAAGUGCGUGAGAGUAACUGUUCACGUUUCGACGGUAUCUAACCAGAAAGCCACGGCUAACUACGUGCCAGCAGCCGCGGUAAUACGUAGGUGGCAAGCGUUAUCCGGAUUUAUUGGGCGUAAAGGGAACGCUGGCGGUCUUUUAAGUCUGAUGUGAAAGCCUUCGGCUUAACCGGAGUAGUGCAUUGGAAACUCGGAGACGUGAGUGCAGAAGAGGAGAGUGGAACUCCAUGUGUAGCGGUGAAAUGCGUAGAUAUAUGGAAGAACACCAGUGGCGAAAGCGGCUCUCUGGUCUGUAACUGACGCUGAGGUUCGAAAGCGUGGGUAGCAAACAGGAUUAGAUACCCUAGUAGUC